AUCGCUUCUCAGCCUUUUGGCUAAGAUCAAGUGUAAUAUCUGUCACUUAUUUUCUUUCUAGGUCAUUCCACCAGCCACAAAUGUGGGAUAGAGACCCAUU
rnacentral:snRNA from 1 species